rnacentral:tRNA from 1 species
UUCGAUAGGUAUUGAUUUUGUUAGAUCAAUUUACGCAUUCGUAAUGCGAAGGUCGUAGGUUCGACUCCUAUUAUCGGCACCA